rnacentral:misc_RNA from 1 species
CUAUUUGAGACCAAUUCCAUAUCACUAUUCAAAAAUUGUAAAUAUUAAAAAAGGGAAUGGAAGCAUGCUAAGAUUUGUGGAGUGAUAUUUUAUGCACUUCUGUUAGUUUGGAUGUUUAUAAUCAUAGGCAAUGGAUUAAUUUGCAAAAAUUUUGAUUGGACUGGAUAGUCAUAUAUGUCCAAACUCCAAAGUCCACUGUCCACUAUAUAUUUGUAAUAGUACUUGUCGUACUUAUAGCAAUAGCACCCGUCAAUUGUUGCUAUCAUAUCAUAUAAUUUUGGAAAAGUAUGUUUUAUUAAGAUCCCUAAGUAUCCAUGCCAAGGACAUAUGUAUUG